rnacentral:rRNA from 1 species
UACACUCCUACGGGAGGCAGCAGUGGGGAAUAUUGGACAAUGGGCGCAAGCCUGAUCCAGCCAUGCCGCGUGAGUGAUGAAGGCCCUAGGGUUGUAAAGCUCUUUCACCGGUGAAGAUAAUGACGGUAACCGGAGAAGAAGCCCCGGCUAACUUCGUGCCAGCAGCCGCGGUAAUACGAAGGGGGCUAGCGUUGUUCGGAUUUACUGGGCGUAAAGCGCACGUAGGCGGACUAUUAAGUCAGGGGUGAAAUCCCGGGGCUCAACCCCGGAACUGCCUUUGAUACUGGUAGUCUUGAGUUCGGGAGAGGUGAGUGGAAUUCCGAGUGUAGAGGUGAAAUUCGUAGAUAUUCGGAGGAACACCAGUGGCGAAGGCGGCUCACUGGCUCGAUACUGACGCUGAGGUGCGAAAGCGUGGGGAGCAAACAGGAUUAGAUACCCUAGUAGUCCCAUGA